rnacentral:rRNA from 1 species
UACGGAGGAUGCGAGCGUUAUCCGGAUUUAUUGGGUUUAAAGGGUGCGUAGGCGGUUUUUUAAGUUAGUGGUUAAACGUCGGGGCUUCACCUUGAUUUGCCAUUAAUACUGUAAGACUCGAGUUCAGGCGAGGUAGGCGGAAUUCGUGGUGUAGCGGUGAAAUGCAUAGAUAUCACGAAGAACUCCGAUUGCGAAGGCAGCUUACCAGUCUGCGACUGACGCUCAGGCACGAAAGUGUGGGUAUCGAACAGG